CCUACGGGAGGCAGCAGUAGGGAAUAUUGCUCAAUGGGGGAAACCCUGAAGCAGCAACGCCGCGUGGAGGAUGAAGGUUUUCGGAUUGUAAACUCCUUUUGUUAGAGAAGAUAAUGACGGUAUCUAACGAAUAAGCACCGGCUAACUCCGUGCCAGCAGCCGCGGUAAUACGGAGGGUGCAAGCGUUACUCGGAAUCACUGGGCGUAAAGAGCGAGUAGGCGGGAUAGCAAGUCAGAUGUGAAAUCCUAGGGCUUAACCAUAGAACUGCAUUUGAAACUGUUAUUCUAGAGUAUGGGAGAGGUAGGUGGAAUUCGUGGUGGAGGGGUAAAAUCCGUAGAGAUCAAGAGGAAUACUCAUUGCGAAGGCGACCUGCUAGAACAUAACUGACGCUGAUGCGCGAAAGCGUGUGGAGCAAACAGGAUUAGAUACCCGGGUAG
rnacentral:rRNA from 1 species